AGGAAACAGGCUAUGACCAUGAUUACGCCAAGCUUGGUACCGAGCUCGGAUCCACUAGUAACGGCCGCCAGUGUGCUGGAAUUCGCCCUUCAGGCCUAACACAUGCAAGUCGAACGGGCGUAGCAAUACGUCAGUGGCAGACGGGUGAGUAACGCGUGGGAACGUACCUUUUGGUUCGGAACAACCCAGGGAAACUUGGGCUAAUACCGGAUAAGCCCUUACGGGGAAAGAUUUAUCGCCGAAAGAUCGGCCCGCGUCUGAUUAGCUUGUUGGUGAGGUAACGGCUCACCAAGGCGACGAUCAGUAGCUGGUCUGAGAGGAUGAUCAGCCACAUUGGGACUGAGACACGGCCCAAACUCCUACGGGAGGCAGCAGUGGGGAAUAUUGGACAAUGGGCGCAAGCCUGAUUCAGCCAUGCCGCGUGAGUGAUGAAGGCCCUAGGGUUGUAAAGCUCUUUUGUGCGGGAAGAUAAUGAC
rnacentral:rRNA from 1 species